rnacentral:rRNA from 1 species
UACGUAGGUGGCAAGCGUUGUCCGGAUUUACUGGGCGUAAAGCGCGCGCAGGCGGGCUGAUUAGUCCGGGGUGAAAUCUCACGGCUCAACCGUGAGCGGUCCCCGGAUACUGUCAGUCUUGAGGUGUCUAGAGGAGAGCGGAAUUCCCGGUGUAGUGGUGGAAUGCGUAGAUAUCGGGAAGAACACCAGUGGCGAAAGCGGCUCUCUGGGGACCACCUGACGCUGAGGCGCGAAAGCGUGGGGAGCGAACCGG